GGAUGGUAGCAGUUAGUUCAUCGAUAACAAGUGCAAAAAAGGUAAGGGCUUAAUGUUGACACCUGAUGAAGAUUCAUCAUCACAAGGAACCCAUGAUUCUCACAUAGGCAUAACUCCCCUAGGUACUCUAUCGCGUGCUUUUUUCUCUAAAUCCAUAAGAUGUGUCUAGAUUCUACCACAUGUCCAAUUUUUCAUUGACUAUCUAAAUAGAUAAGCAGCUUCAAACGUUAAUCUCUUGGAAGCCGAAGUAAUUUUCUUACAUCAUUCUUUUUGUCUAAAAUCUUUUUUUAACACUACCCUCUCCAACUCCAAAACAACCUCUUUUACCGCUCCAUACAAAUUGCAGUCACUAACACAUGCUAAGGCAAUUUACCAAAAAACUCACCAACCCAAGUUGUGAAAUGUACCAACAAAAACCACCUAUCAUGCCUAGCAACCACCAUCAUUGCCUAACAAAGCAUGCACACCAUCCAAUGUCGGGCUAUACCAUUGAUACAAUGGGGCAUAAAAUGGUAAAACCCAUCAUGGAAUGGCAUUCGAGGCAGGCGCAUCAGAUCAACAAUCUAGAUGGCAAAAACACAAAAAUAGAGAUGGAGAAAAACUUUCAUACGAUGGCACAAACUAUGAUAGAUGGUACAGCAUUUAGAAAUUACCUACAAAUUGCAUAGGUGGCAUAUGAGUAAUUGAAAUAAAACCAUCCAAAUUAUGGGUCCCAAUUUAGAUGUAAUGUGAGCCAAAAUUUAAGUUUGUCUUUGACUAUUGGAUUGGCGGGCAUUUAUUGGACAGUCUUAAAUGAAAAAUAUGCAAUGGUCCUAUUUCAACAAAAAGCAUCCACGAAUCAAAGGUUAGAUAAUGCAAACCCCAAAAGGGGAUUCAAAUAGAUCAAAGAAAAAAAAAAAAAGAGAUUAUGUGAAAGAACCCAACAAUCCUUUAGCCGAAUGCUAGAGACGCAAAAAACCUUCUCCCCAAAUAUUGUACCAAAGAAAAACAUGAAAAUUGAAUUAUUAUUCCAUAACCAUAAUAAUAAUUCUUACACCUCCAUAACAUAGCCUUAGAUAAACUUGUAAAAA